rnacentral:rRNA from 1 species
AAACCUGCCUCAUAGACUGGGACAACUAUUGAAACGAUAGCUAAUACCGGAUAACAGCAUUAACUGCAUGGUUGAUGUUUAAAAGUUGGUUUUGCUAACACUAUGAGAUGGCUUUGCGGUGCAUUAGCUAGUUGGUGGGGUAAAGGCCUACCAAGGCGACGAUGCAUAGCCGACCUGAGAGGGUGAUCGGCCACACUGGGACUGAGACACGGCCCAG